rnacentral:rRNA from 1 species
AUGAACGCUGGCGGCGUGCCUAAUACAUGCAAGUCGAGCGAACAGAUGAGGAGCUUGCUCCUCUGACGUUAGCGGCGGACGGGUGAGUAACACGUGGAUAACCAACCUAUAAGACUGGGAUAACUUCGGGAAACCGGAGCUAAUACCGGAUAAUAUAUUGAACCGCAUGGUUCAAUAGUGAAAGACGGUUUUGCUGUCACUUAUAGAUGGAUCCGCGCCGCAUUAGCUAGUUGGUAAGGUAACGGCUUACCAAGGCAACGAUGCGUAGCCGACCUGAGAGGGUGAUCGGCCACACUGGAACUGAGACACGGUCCAGACUCCUACGGGAGGCAGCAGUAGGGAAUCUUCCGCAAUGGGCGAAAGCCUGACGGAGCAACGCCGCGUGAGUGAUGAAGGUCUUCGGAUCGUAAAACUCUGUUAUUAGGGAAGAACAAAUGUGUAAGUAACUAUGCACGUCUUGACGGUACCUAAUCAGAAAGCCACGGCUAACUACGUG